GCAUUUAAAUAGUGUAGCUAGCGCACGGAGAGCGCACGCGUUUAGAUCGGGUUCCGGAAAAUACGUCAUGAUUUUGCAUAGCCGACAUCUUGUGCCAUGCUCUGAGAGUCUUUCCACUGUCUCGUGAAGCCACAAAAAGGCCGUGAUGAUCAGCUGAUCGGGUGUUUUCCGGGCAGUUGCGUCAUCGCCCGAAGACCUUUAAAUCUCAUCGGCUGUUUUUAAAUAGCUCUAAAAUCUUAACAUUUUGGGCAAAACCUUUAUGCGGAAUAGUUUUUGAAAGAUUAAAGCCUCUUUUAGCGGAUAAUAAUAAAAAAAAAAAAAUUAAAGGCACGUGGAGCCUUUGUUUACAGAGCGAGCCGAGGUCA